ACGAGCGCUGGCGGCGUGCUUAACACAUGCAAGUCGAACGGGCCUUGUCCCCUUUUUUUUGGGGGUGGGGUUAGUGGCGAACGGGUGAGUAACACGUGAGUAACCUGCCCCUCACUUCUGGAUAACCGCUUGAAAGGGUGGCUAAUACGGGGUGUUCUGGCCUGCUCGCAUGGGUGGGUUUGGAAAGAUUCGACCGGUUUUGGUUGUUUUGGUGGGGGAUGGGCUCGCGGCCUAUCAGCUUGUUGGUGGGGUGAUGGCCUGCCAAGGCUUUGACGGGUAGCCGGCCUGAGAGGGUGGGCGGUCACACUGGGACUGAGACACGGCCCAGACUCCUACGGGAGGCAGCAGUGGGGAAUAUUGCACAAUGGGCGCAAGCCUGAUGCAGCGACGCCGCGUGAGGGAUGGAGGCCUUCGGGUUGUGAACCUCUUUCGCCAGUGAAGAAGGUCCUGCUCUUUGUGGUGGGGUUGACGGUAGCUGGGUUAAUGAAGCGCCGGCUAACUACGUG
rnacentral:rRNA from 1 species